UCGACCCAACGUCGGGACCCCACUGUUAAAAGGGGACCCGAGAGCAUUUCUAGGGCACUGUUUGCCCUUUGUCUUCUUCCGAAAAACCUUUUCUCCACUCUCAAAUCUUCUCCAAUCAUCUCCAAACAGUAGAUUUCCUUGAGAUCUUAGAGAAAUGGGACCCAAAAGAGCCGUAGCCAAGAGAUCCGGAAGAGUGACACGGAUCCAACGGGAGGAAAGGCAACCUACCGAGCCAUCUCCCGUGUCUCCACGACGUGAGGCACGUGCGGAGGGCCCUCCUCCUCCUUCUCCCUCAGUGAUACUUGCAAGAUUUGCGGGGAGGCCGGUUACAACGGGGAGAAGGAUCCAUUCCGAGUUCUUCAAUCAAGAAGGGUUUCGGAUUUGGGAAUGAAUCCAAAGGCAAGGUUGGGAGUAUCUUUGCUCCCUAGAUGUGGUUAUCUACCCCGGAUUGGUACAAGAGUUCUAUGCCUUCCUCAAAACUGGUAUGGGAGGGCUUGUUUCGGAAGUUCGAGGGG
rnacentral:lncRNA from 1 species